GCCCUGGUGGUGGAACUGGUAGACACGCAGGACUUAAAAUCCUGUGUCCGUAAGGACGUACGGGUUCAAGUCCCGUCUGGGGUA
rfam:Chryseobacterium sp. Leaf201 contig_4, whole genome shotgun sequence.